GAACGAACGCCGACGGCGUGCCUAAGACAUGCAAGUCGAGCGGACAGAAGCGAGCGUGCUCCCGGAUGCUACCGGCGGACGGGUGAGUAACACGUGGGUAACCUGCCUGUAAGACUGGGAUAACUCCGGGAAACCGGAGCUAAUACCGGAUAGUUCCUUGAACCGCAUGGUUCAAGGAUGAAAGACGGUUUCGGCUGUCACUUACAGAUGGACCCGCGGCGCAUUAGCUAGUUGGUGAGGUAACGGCUCACCAAGGCGACGAUGCGUAGCCGACCUGAGAGGGUGAUCGGCCACACUGGGACUGAGACACGGCCCAGACUCCUACGGGAGGCAGCAGUAGGGAAUCUUCCGCAAUGGACGAAAGUCUGACGGAGCAACGCCGCGUGAGUGAUGAAGGUUUUCGGAUCGUAAAGCUCUGUUGUUAGGGAAGAACAAGUGCAAGAGUAACUGCUUGCACCAUGACG
rnacentral:rRNA from 1 species